CGGCCCCGUAGUCACGUGAUGCGCGCUGUGCACGCGCCUGACCGCGCGGAGUUCGCUCUGGGGUGCUUCAGCAGUGUGCCAGUGAAUCCUCGGGACAAGGCGCCAAAGUGUCCACCCACCCCACUUGGAAGGGCUGGGCAAAGGUUGCACGUGGCUCGUCAAGCCGGCCUUGCCUCGGAAACUCCACCAGUGAUGCGGCUGCCCACGGUGGCCUGCUCUGGGUGCUUAGGGUGUGUGAGUUGCCUCACCCCCCCACCUCCACCCCCCGGCUUGUCGAAAACCGCGCCCUAUCAUUGGAGCCGAGGGAAAGAGGGGUGUCCAUUUGGGGACCCAGUGUGACCCGCGACUGGCGGUAGCUGCGGGGAGGGCACGCUCUAGCUCCUGCGUUUACCAAGGGCCAGGGACUUUAAUGGGUACAGUUCCACCCACUUUGCAAAUUAGGAAAUUGAGGCUUCCCGGCAGGUUAAACCAAGUGGUCCUGCGCGACGAGAAAGAAGUUGAGAUUUGGAGGCAAGCCUUAUUCAGAGGCCGGUCUUUUCUCAUGCAUAGCAGGACAAUGAAGAAAGAGCAGCCCUCCCCACCGUUCCAGGUUAGACAUUUACUCUCAAGCUUAGACUCAUCUUCCUCUCUUCCUUCUUUGCUCUGACAAACCUGGAGCGCCGACAGGUCGCCACACACUUUUUAAGGGGAGAGAGAGAGCACGGAGCUCGGGUGCCAGCAAGGGAGCCAGACACACGCAGAGAAGGACUAUGUCGGGUUGUGUUUGUCACUGAGUGACCACCCCUAGGGUGGGCGGCCACAAAGGGAGGAGACCUUUGAACAAUGACUUCAUACACAAGCAGCCCUGAGAGGAUAGGGUCAGAGACCACCAGGAAAAGCCACUGGAGUCAGUUCCGCUCCCCAGUGCUCGGCCUGCGUUCGGUUAGAAGGACCCGUCCAUCCACUGUGGCAGAGAAGCGCCAGGCCUGGCUUUUGGAGCUGAGUCCCCAGCCUCCCUACCUGUUUUCAAUGAGAUGGAAAUCAGGUGCACGUUGCCCAGCUUCUCACGUGACCUCUCUCUAAAUAAGCAGUAAGCAACUGCAAAACUCAGAAUGCUAAUAAUGGCCUAUAUUGAGUGAAAAGAGCUAAUUUGGGCAAUGAUGUUUCCCUCGGAUUUACAAAAGGGAAUUGCAAAUAACCAAACAGUAAUAGCACUGAUGGGAGAUGAUGCUAAACUUCAAUCAGCACCCGCGUUAGUUAUUCACAUAUUUAGAAGGGAACCUUUUCGACACAGUGGCUGCGCACACGCGUUACGGUGACAGGUACAGCCGGUGGGUUCAUAAAUGCCUUAAUGUGCAAGCCAGCAUUGACAGACCUAGUUCUUGUUCACCGAUCUAGGCUAUUUUAAGCCGGAGUGGUCUGUUUGGUUUCUUGUCUGCUUGCUUUUUCUGGUCCAGAAGCAGAGGAAUCUAUCUGGAUUCUAGUUCCAUUCUUUCUGGCUCUAAUUCUGUUUUAGCUUGAACGAAGACUGUUUGCUACUAAUGUCUUGUUGAGCCUUGACAUGCUGCUGUGCUCGUGUAACUGAAGGGCUUUCCUGAGAGAACAUAAUUAGCAAAAUGUAAAAAUUCCUAGAUGGCUCAGUGGGUAAUCAGGCUGAUGACCUGAGUUUGAUCCCUGGGACCCGCAUGAUGGAAAAGAGAGCUGAUUCACUCUCACAAGUUGUCCUCUGACCUCAAGUUGUCCUCUGACCUCCACACACAUUUGCCAUGGCACACACCCACACCCACACCCACACCCACACCCACACCCACACACACACACACACACACACAAAAGGUAAUAAAAUUUAAACUCCUAUAUUAUUUUUGUGUCCUGCUUUACAAGGGUAUGAACAUGGUGGUCAUCCUUGAGGUGUGACAGCCCCAGAAGGAUCUGCAGGAGCUACUGUAGACCAGGUCAUUUCAGGCCUGCUGAGGAGAACAGUGCUCUCCUCAGCCUGGAAGGCCCAACAGUAGUGGAGGACACUACUGUGAUUUGGGCCUAAAGUUUCAUUCAGAGGUGGAAACAAACGGAAGGAAAUUCAGCCACAGGGCACCGCUGCUCCUGAAGAAAUGAAUGUUUUCCUCCCAGAACUGAAUUACUGGUGUGCUGGGACUGGCAAAGACCAUGGAGGCCUGCUAAAGGAUGCUGCCCUCUGUGUGGUGAUGUACCCAAAUUUACCGUCAGCAAAGACCGAGCAGAUGGGGCUAUCUAGUCGUGGACUUCAACACUCCCAAACUGUAAGCUGUAUAAGCCUCUCUUCUGUAUAGACAGAUUCCAGCCUCAGAAAACAGAUAAUGGGUGCAUGGAGGAGACAGAAUGGAUGUGGUAUGAGACUGGAGGAGAGGUCACAUGAAGGAACCCCUUCCGGGGAGAAUCAAGUGGAUCAUGACUUCACAGGAAGUCCCAUUCUCCCAGGACAUAGGCACUAAAGCAGAGAAGUGCGGGUGUUGUCCAGGACUGGCUCUGCCAGCUAUCUUGGAGCUACAGUGGCAGCAGAGCCUCUGUACCCUUCAGGGUCAUUGACUUCUCUCCACUCUGCAGACCUGAGAUGUCUGCAGACAGAAAUGUGGAUAGUCUUCCCUGAUUGCCUUGGGCUGCAGAACCCCAAGGGACAAGGUAUGGUGACUUAGUCCUGUUUGGGGUGUGGCUUCCCCACCACCUGAGUGAGAGAAUACAGACCAGGUUUAAUUUUUGUUCUCUUUUCUUUUUCCCUUCCUUUCUUCCUUUUUUUUUUUUUUUUUUUUUUUUUUUUUUUUUUUUUUUUUCUUGAGACAGGGUUUCUCUGUGUAGCCCUGGUGUCCUGGAACUCACGACCUGGCUGGCCUUGAACUCACAGAGAUCUGCCCGCCUCUGCCUCCUGAACACUGGGAUUAAAGAUGUGCACCAGCACAUCCAGCAUUUUUAUUAAAUUUUAAUUAUUUAAGUGUGUAAAGAUUAUCCUCAGUUGCACAAGACCCUGUCUCAAAAGUCAGAAAAAAAUGGUUUGUGGUGGGGAGCUGGUGACAUUGUUCAGCAAGUAAUGUGCUUGUCACCUAAGACUGUCAACCUGCCUUUGGGCUCUGGAAACCACAUGGGAGGAGAGAGAUUGCCCUCUGACUUCCACAUGUGUGCCAUGGAGCAUGCACAAGCCCCCAUCAUAUACACACAAUGGUAAUGUUUAAAAAAAAAAAUAGAGGAGGAGGAGCUGAAUCUAAGGGCAGACCUGUUAGCUUCUGCCUGAGUCAGCAUGUCUGUUUCAUUUGCUCCUUCAGAUAUUGGCACCAAGGACUCUGAUGUCACUCAUCCCCUGGGCACACUGACAGUGGCUGUGGUACACAGCAGGAAACUGCUUCAUAAUAGUCCCAGUGGCCCCUCUGCUGACUCUGGAUCACCCUGAACCAAGCCUUUCCACGUUCCAGGCUGACUUCUCUUCCAGGAUGGAAUUCCUGACCUUGCUGGCCAGGGCUAGGGCAGUGGGGGGGGGGGGCAGAUGAGAAAGGGCAUUGGAUAAUCCAGAGAGGUCUGCACCCUCUCCCAGAGAACCACUCCCCUUACCUGGUGAGGAGUCACUUGUCCCCAUCCCCCAUCAGGAAAGACUUGAAAAACCAGAAAAUGAGAGUGCCAAGAUGAACCAUCACAUUGUGUUAAUAUUUUCACACCACUUAACUCUCAUUAAAAUGUACUUUGCUGAAUUUAAUAUGUGAUUUCAAAUGACACAACAUAUUAAGUGCUUAAUAUACUAGAAAUUAUGAAACUAUUAUAGUCGAUGCCAUAUGAAAUAAUUAGAGUGAAUUAAACUUUAGCAGCCGAGUGAAGGCAAGGCUUCAACUUAUAAUAUCUGCAAGUCGCUCAAGCCACCGCUGUAAUCCCCCAAAUAAAUGUCCAGAAAUUAGGCUCUUUAAAUAAAAACUGAAUUUCAUGUGUAUUUACACCACAAGGUCUUCUGAACUUUGGUGACAUGGAACCUGGC
ensembl:lncRNA